CCCAUUGUAUGGAGAGUUAAUAAGAUAACCACAAACUGCAGGCACACACCCAAGGACAGCGUUGAGUGUGAAAGCUUGAAACACGAUUCUGUCACAAGGAAGACUGAUGGCAUGCCGGACACCAGAUAGAUGACGGGGCAGAGAAGCCCACAGACCAGAGUGUCAGCCAUGAGUGAGCUGCAGAAUCAGAAAGAGCAAGAAGGCAGACACUUCCCAGGCACCUAAGUUAUACACAGGAGAGGUUAAGAAGAGUUGAAGAGAAAACCGAGAACAGGAUCUAUUUAUAAGGAGUGGCAGAAAGGACCUCCAUGGAGAGAUGACCAGAAUGCUGAUGGAAUUAUUGUAAAGUGGAAUUACCAGAGAGGGAUUUUGAAGAGCCCAUUAUCUGCUGAACUUUUCAAUGAGAAUAAAAUUAUAUUGCUGAAAAAA